rnacentral:rRNA from 1 species
UACGAAGGGGGCUAGCGUUGUUCGGAGUUACUGGGCGUAAAGGGCGCGUAGGCGGCGCAUCAAGUCAGGCGUGAAAGCCCUGGGCUCAACCCGGGAAUUGCGCUUGAGACUGGUGUGCUUGAGUACGGGAGAGGAUAGUGGAAUUCCCAGUGUAGAGGUGAAAUUCGUAGAUAUUGGGAAGAACACCGGUGGCGAAGGCGGCUCACUGGCUCGUAACUGACGCUCAUGCACGACAGCGUGGGGAUCAAACCGG